CCAGCUGCUGCCGCUGUCUCCAGCCGGGGCCCCCUGUGCGCGCCUUGGCCCGGGCUCCCUUGCGCUCCCGCACCCCCAGGGGAGAGCCGAGGGGAGAAGCAAAGGUGAACCCCGUCCAGAGCCUAGACCCCUUGGGAGCCUGGCAGAUCCCCAUCCUCACAAAGGGCUCAAGAUGCUGAGGAUUGUCAUCUGCACCGCUGCUAUCCUGGGGUCAGUCUUAGCCCAGGAGCCCCGAGGCCACGUCUCCAUCAUCCUCCUGGGAGCCACGGGGGACCUGGCCAAAAAGUACCUGUGGCAAGGACUGUUCCAGCUCUACCUGGACGAGGCAGGCAACGGCCACAGCUUUAGCUUCCAUGGGGCCGCCCUGACCCCGCCCGAGCAGGGGCAGCAGUUCAUGACCCAGGCCCUGGAGAAGCUCUCCUGCCCCUCAGAUGUGCCUCCAGAGCGCUGUGCCCAGCUCAAGGGGCAGUUUCUGCAGCUGAGCCAGUACCGGCAGCUGCUGACAGCUGAGGACUAUGUGACCUUAAGGAAGGACAUCGAGGCCCGGCUCCAGCAGGACGGGCUUCGAGAGUCUGGAAGGAUCUUCUACUUUUCGGUACCUGCCUUUGCCUACGCCGAUAUCGCCCAGCGUAUCAACAGCAGCUGCCGGCCGGGCCCAGGAGCCUGGCUGCGCGUGGUCCUGGAGAAGCCCUUCGGACAUGACCGCCGCUCGGCCCAGGAGCUCUCCAAAGAGCUGGGGACCUUCUUCCGAGAGGAGGAGAUGUAUCGUGUGGACCACUACCUUGGCAAGCAGGCAGUGGCCCAGAUCCUGCCCUUCCGAGACCGGAACUGGAAAUCCCUGGACCGACUCUGGAACCGGCACCACGUGGACAGGGUAGAGAUUGUCAUGAAGGAGACGGUGGAUGCAGAGGGUCGCACCAGCUUUUAUGAAGAGUAUGGAGUCAUCCGGGAUGUCAUCCAGAACCACCUGACUGAGAUCCUGACGUAUGUGGCCAUGGAGUUGCCCCGGAACCUCAGCGACCCGGAAGAACUGCUUCGGUGCAAGCUGCAGACCUUCCAGGCCCUUCGGAACCUGGAGAAAGGGAAUGCUGUCCUGGGGCAGUACCAAGCGUACAAUGGGCAGGUCCAGAAGGAGCUGCAAAAGCCUGCUGGGUAUGUGAGCCUGACACCGACCUUCGCAGGCGUCCUCCUUCAGAUCAACAGCCCGCGCUGGGAGGGCGUCCCCUUCAUCCUGAUGUCUGGGAAAGCCCUGGAUGAGAGGGUGGGCUACGUCCGGAUCGUAUUCAAGAACCGGGCAUACUGUACCCAGAGCGAGAGCCACCGGGACUCUGGGAAGAGCCAGUGCCAGCCCAGACAGAUCAUCUUCUAUAUCGGGCACGGGACGCUGGGCAGCCCUGCGGUGCUGGUCAGCAGGAACCUAUUUAAGCCCUCGCUGCCGCCUGCGAGCUGGCAGGAGAUCCAGGAAAUGCCGGCGCUCCACCUCUUUGGUCAACAGCUGGCCGAUUUCCAUGCCUACCGCCCACGCCAGGAGAGGGAUGCUUACUCGGUGCUGAUCUCCCACAUCUUCCACCGGCGGAAGGAUUGUUUCAUCACGACAGAGAACCUGCUGGCCUCCUGGGACGUGUGGACCCCGCUGCUGGACAGCAUUGCUCAGGAGGUGCCCCGGCUGUACCCUGGGGGGGCCGGCAAUGAGCACCUGCUAGAUUUUGAGCAGGAGGGCAGCCAGGUGGUCUUCGUGCAGCGGGAGGUGGAACAGCUGGUCUCCGGCCCCGGCCCUGGCCCAAUGCCUAGAGACUUCGGCGUCCUCAAGGCCAAGUUCCGAAAGAGCCCUCUAGUCUCAGCCUGGCCUGAGGACCUGAUCGCCCGGCUGGCAUCCGACAUCGAGGUGGCGGCGGAGCGGGCCGUGAGGCGCUCUGGGGAAUUCCACCUGGCCGUUUCGGGGGGCGCCAGCCCCGUGGCCCUCUUUCAGAGGCUGGCCAUGAGGCAUUACAGCUUCCCUUGGGGCCAUACCCACCUGUGGCUGGUGGAUGAGCGGUGUGUCCCACUGACCGACCCCGAAUCCAACUUCCAGGGUCUGCACGUGCAUCUGCUUCAGCACAUCCGCGUGCCCUAUUGCAACAUCCACCCCAUGCCAGUCCACCUGCAUCGGAGGCUGUGCGUGGAAGAGGACCAGGGUGCCGAGCUCUACGCCAAGGAGAUCUCGGCCCUCGUGACCAACAGCAGCUUUGACCUGGUGCUGCUGGGCGUAGGCACUGACGGGCACACAGCCUCGCUCUUCCCUCACUCGCCCAGCGGCCUAGAAGGGGAGGAGCUGGUGGUGUUCACCGAGAGCCCUGCCAAGCCCCACCAGCGCAUGAGUCUCAGCCUCCCCCUUAUUAACAGGGCCAAGAAGGUGGCCGUCCUCGUGAUGGGCAAAAGGAAGAGGGACAUCGCCCUCCAGGUGAGCCGGGUGGGCCACGAACCCAAGAAGUGGCCCAUCUCCGGGGUCCUCCCUACCUCUGGCCAGCUCGUCUGGUACAUGGACUAUGAAGCCUUUUUGGGCUGAGGGUGCCCGUCGGCUCACCUGCCCUCCCUCCCCCUUCCUCCUCCCUCACCAAAGAACUCAGUGCCCAAUGGCCAUACAUUCCAACAGCCCCCAGAAGGGUGGGGAGAUGAGCAGGUAAUAGCUAUGAACUGGACAAGGCAGUUUAAAAAAAGGCUGGAUUUGAAGUCAGAGAAUCGGAGUUCAAAUCCUGUCAGUGAUAUGCCACUGCGUGGUCUUGGGGAAAUCACUAAACUUUUCUGGCCCUCAGUAUCCUCACCUGUAAAAAUGAGGGGGUUGGAUUAACUCAUUUCUCAGGUCCCCUCCAGCUCUCAAUCUAUGAUGUGCCACUACUGGGGUCCCUUCCAACUCUGAGAUUCUGUGAAACUGUGAUUCAAAGGAUUAAUUCGAUGACUACUAUGAACAGGAAACCACCCAGCCCUUCCAGGGCCUGGAGAUGGAAGAAACAAACCAUUUCCUUCUCUACCUCGAAGGGAAUUUUCUUCUGCCUGGGGAUAGAAGAUGCCUUCUGUGAAAAAGACAAACCACCAUGCUCAGAAGUGCCAAGAUAAUGUGGCACCAGCAGAGCCGGCAGGAUGCCAAGGAAAAUGGAGAUCAGAAUGGGGUGGGACUGGCUAAUCAGGGCUGGCUUCCUGGAGGCGGCUGAUCAUUCACAAGACCUCGAUGAGGGCACGGAAGAGUCGGCUGAGCCACGUACCCUGGUGUGAUCGAUAGGUUCCUCUUUUUUUUAAUUUAAUUUCCCACCCACUGUUCCCCAGUGAACCUAAUCAGCGCAGACUCCUAUUUCAAAUCAAGAGAUGAACAGUCUUGACGCAGGAUCUCAGUUUCUAAGUUUGCCAGUUGUCCUUCCCGGUUCCCUCCUAUGUUUGGUUUUAGCUGUGAUAUGGAGGAGGACCAGAUGAUCUCAAAGCCUCCUUCCAGUCCUCACGUUCUAGAAUGCUGGCUUUGCAGGCACAGACCCUCAGAUCUGCAAAUCCAUCUGGGCCAGCCCCAUAGAUGGACAGGAAGACCCUCUCUAGUGCCCCUAACCAGUGGUGGGUCAUCCUUGGCUUGAGGCUCCCCCCACCCCCCACUUCACUUUGAGACAGCCCUAAAAAGGAUUUUUUUCCUGAUGUCAAGUACUGUGGUGGCCACUUGGUGGUGCUGGUGCACCACAAUUGAUUUCUUAACUGGCUUCAGAAUCAGAAGCUCACAUCCUCCCAACCAGCACAGGUGGUCGCAUUUCCAGAGACCACCAAUCUAGGAUCAGAAGGGACCUCAGAGGUCAUUGGGUCCAACCCCCUCAUUUUUCAGAUCGGGAAACUGAGACCCCAGCAGGUGAGGUCACUUGCCCAGGGUCGCCCAGGUGGUAAGAUGUCUGGCUGCGUUCUGAACCCUCGUCCCCUGGCUCCAGAUUCAGAGUUCUCCCUCCAGGGCUGCUUUUCCGUUCUCCACUCGUUGAGGCUAGAAGCUCCCUUGGCUUGGAGCAGGCCUGGUACGGCCCAGAAUUCCUUUCUGAGCAUGGCAACAGCAGAGAAGCUUUGAAAUGCCCGGGAGAGUGAGCCCAGGCUCAAGGGUGAGCCUGCUGUAUCUGUCCCCGUGUCAGAGGACUUGUGAAUGGAGCCCAGCCUCUCACCGCCCCUUCACAUGCAGCCAAUAGAAGUUCUUGUCUCAAGACUCAGCUCAUUGUCUUAAUGUGUUGGAGGUUAUCCAUUAUAUGUCUGUGGGGGGAGGGGGAGAUUAAAAAACAAAACAAAAAAAAAGCCAGAACUCUGCAUGUUUCAUUGCUGGAGCUGAGCAGCCAUAGAAAUCCAGAAAGAAACUUCUUGGAAGGAAGCUGUUUCUACCCCAUGUGACCACUCCCCCAGGCCUCAGUGCCCUUCUCCAUAAAAAUGAGGGAGUUGGAUCUGGAAUUGGAAGGACUAUCUUUCCUUUUAUUAAUUGCAUCUCCAAUGGUUAGCACAG